rnacentral:lncRNA from 1 species
UUGGUGAAACACAGUGUCAACUAAUGUGUCACCUGAUGGGAAGCAAGGAUAAAGUUAUUUCUGUCUAGUUUUGUGUUGUCAUAGACGCAUAACUUAUUUUAGCAUCUUUAAAACUUUAAUUUCUUUUCAAGCUUUUAAUUGUUUGUUGCAAAUGCACAUAGCCUUCAACCUGUAGGAUACAUAGCCUUAUCCAGUAGGGUUGCCACUCAGUUACAGAAAAGGUUGUUUGGGCCCACUGGCCAGAAAUUAUACUAUUUCAUGGAAUUAAGAAGCAUUUUUCCUACUUCUAUUCUGCUCAGCAACAACAUCCCCAAAUGAUGCUGAUGUUGCUGUUGUGGCCAGACGAAUUGAGGAGCUGGUCACCAGUAUUAAAAGGAGGUCCCAACGUCUUUAUAAAGACAAUGAUGGCUGCACAGGUCGUGCCCGGAUACGCCAAAAGAUCAGGGAGGAAAAGAAAUGUUUAAAUUCUGUGGUGGAUCAAUAUAAUACCAUGGUCCCUAAUGCAGAAAACCUGGACUUGGACACCAUUCUUUCAGACGACACCCUUUGGCCAUGGCAGCUUCCACAUGGUGACUCUGUAGAUCUAAGGACAAAGAGAAAGGCAUUUGACACAGUGAUGGCAGUAAGGAGACUUGAGGAGGAGAAGAGGAUUCUCAUUGCUGAGAUGAAAAAACACUGGAAAUUUCUUUGCACCCGUGCAGACACUCUAAAGGAGAUGUCAUCCCAGCUUUGCAGUGGGACAUCAAGUGAGAUGUGGGGCCUGAGUAAAGAGGGAAUCCAAGGUCUGCAGAGCUUAAUGACGAAGAGCACACAAGCCAUCAACAAAAUACUGAAGCACACAAAGAACUGUUAUAUUCAAGUUCUGACUGGAACAGAAGUGAACUUUGAAAGUGAUUCGGAUGAAUACCAUAGUGACUCUGAACUUUCAGAAGAUUAAACCGAGGAUGUAAGAUAAACAGCUUUAAAGUGUCUUGUCAAUGGCAAGAAGAUCAUUGUAGCACCUGGACUCUUUAUGUUGAAAUGCAAUUCACAAUUCAGUUUGUCACAUACAGAAUCAGAGUACGACAAGCUUUAAAAUGCUUAGUGCGGUGCUGUGUCAUAACAAAAGAUUGGAAAUAAAAAGAGAAGAAGAGUUCAAUGUGCAACAUCCGAUUUCCGUACCUGUGUUUACAUCAGUUUAGAUAACAUUCUUUUGUUCAGUCCAGUAUCAAUGAUUUCUAGAAAAAUACAUUUUGACAUGAGUUUCUUCAUGGUCGAACUCACACGGCCUUUAGCACAGAUAAGUCUUCUCAAUAAAAUUCUUAAGCCCAGUAUAUAGUACCUCUAACCUGCAUCUGUGAUUGGUAUUUCUUGCUGUGUUGAUAGAUAUUUGUUGCCAUUGGUCCAGGAGCUGUAUAACCACAUCAUCGAGGUUGGAGGUCUCAUAAACCCAGCAUUUAAAGAGGAUGUGUGUCGCGCAGAAAAACUAAUGACAUUUCUGCUAUAGCUUGGAUCUGAAAGCUGUGCUAAAUUGAACAUUUACCCUUAUUGUUAUAACCAUCAAUUCAAUGAUAAAAUGAUUUAGUUUUUAUACUUGACUUAUUUUUCUUAUUUUCUGUCACAGAUUGUCCUUAUUUGUGUUAAUUGUAAUCUGUUUUUUUUUUCUCUAUGUUAUGGUGUUAUUGUGGUCAUUGUUUUCUGAUUUUGUCUCAUUUCUACAUUUUCAUUCAUUGUUUUAUGGAAUGAUAAUAAAACAUCUUUGAUCCUUAAGUAACCUUUGUAAUCUUUCUGUGUUGUCAACACACUAGAGGUCUUUGUUU